rnacentral:rRNA from 1 species
AAUGGGCGAAAGCCUGACGCAGCCAUGCCGCGUGUGUGAAGAAGGCCCUAGGGUUGUAAAGCACUUUCAACUGGGAGGAAAAGCUAAUGGUUAAUAGCCAUUAGCCCUGACGUUACCUUUAGAAGAAGCACCGGCUAACUCCGUGCCAGCAGCCGCGGUAAUACGGAGGGUGCAAGCGUUAAUCGGAAUUACUGGGCGUAAAGCGCGCGUAGGCGGUUUUUUAAGUCGGAUGUGAAAGCCCCGGGCUCAACCUGGGAAUUGCAUUCGAUACUGGAUGACUAGAAUGCGGGAGAGGGAGGUAGAAUUCCAUGUGUAGCAGUGAAAUGCGUAGAUAUAUGGAGGAAUACCAGUGGCGAAGGCGGCCUCCUGGCUCGACAUUGACGCUGAGGUGCGAAAGCGUGGGGAGCAAACGGGAUU